AUUGAACGCUGGCGGCAUGCUUUACACAUGCAAGUCGAACGGCAGCGCGGGCUUCGGCCUGGCGGCGAGUGGCGAACGGGUGAGUAAUGCAUCGGAACGUGCCCAGUAGUGGGGGAUAGCCCGGCGAAAGCCGGAUUAAUACCGCAUACGACCUGAGGGUGAAAGCGGGGGACCGAAAGGCCUCGCGCUAUUGGAGCGGCCGAUGUCGGAUUAGCUAGUUGGUGGGGUAAAGGCUUACCAAGGCGACGAUCCGUAGCUGGUCUGAGAGGACGACCAGCCACACUGGGACUGAGACACGGCCCAGACUCCUACGGGAGGCAGCAGUGGGGAAUUUUGGACAAUGGGGGCAACCCUGAUCCAGCCAUGCCGCGUGCGGGAAGAAGGCCUGCGGGUUGUAAACCGCUUUUGUUCGGGAAGAAAUCCUCUGGGCUAAUACCCCGGGGGGAUGACGGUACCGGAAGAAUAAGCACCGGCUAACUACGU
rnacentral:rRNA from 1 species